GUUCCCCCUGUCACGGCUCCCAACAUCUCUGCCGGUGUGGCUGCUAUGUUUGAGUACAGCCACGCUGGCAGAGAUGUUGGAAGCCGUGACAGGGGGAAC